GAUGAACGCUGGCGGCGUGCCUAAUACAUGCAAGUCGAGCGAACGGACGAGAAGCUUGCUUCUCUGAUGUUAGCGGCGGACGGGUGAGUAACACGUGGAUAACCUACCUAUAAGACUGGGAUAACUUCGGGAAACCGGAGCUAAUACCGGAUAAUAUUUUGAACCGCAUGGUUCAAAAGUGAAAGACGGUCUUGCUGUCACUUAUAGAUGGAUCCGCGCUGCAUUAGCUAGUUGGUAAGGUAACGGCUUACCAAGGCAACGAUGCAUAGCCGACCUGAGAGGGUGAUCGGCCACACUGGAACUGAGACACGGUCCAGACUCCUACGGGAGGCAGCAGUAGGGAAUCUUCCGCAAUGGGCGAAAGCCUGACGGAGCAACGCCGCGUGAGUGAUGAAGGUCUUCGGAUCGUAAAACUCUGUUAUUAGGGAAGAACAUAUGUGUAAGUAACUGUGCACAUCUUGACGGUACCUAAUCAGAAAGCCACGGCUAACUACGUGCCAGCAGCCGCGGUAAUACGUAGGUGGCAAGCGUUAUCCGGAAUUAUUGGGCGUAAAGCGCGCGUAGGCGGUUUUUUAAGUCUGAUGUGAAAGCCCACGGCUCAACCGUGGAGGGUCAUUGGAAACUGGAAAACUUGAGUGCAGAAGAGGAAAGUGGAAUUCCAUGUGUAGCGGUGAAAUGCGCAGAGAUAUGGAGGAACACCAGUGGCGAAGGCGACUUUCUGGUCUGUAACUGACGCUGAUGUGCGAAAGCGUGGGGAUCAAACAGGAUUAGAUACCCUGGUAGUCCACGCCGUAAACGAUGAGUGCUAAGUGUUAGGGGGUUUCCGCCCCUUAGUGCUGCAGCUAACGCAUUAAGCACUCCGCCUGGGGAGUACGACCGCAAGGUUGAAACUCAAAGGAAUUGACGGGGACCCGCACAAGCGGUGGAGCAUGUGGUUUAAUUCGAAGCAACGCGAAGAACCUUACCAAAUCUUGACAUCCUUUGACAACUCUAGAGAUAGAGCCUUCCCCUUCGGGGGACAAAGUGACAGGUGGUGCAUGGUUGUCGUCAGCUCGUGUCGUGAGAUGUUGGGUUAAGUCCCGCAACGAGCGCAACCCUUAAGCUUAGUUGCCAUCAUUAAGUUGGGCACUCUAAGUUGACUGCCGGUGACAAACCGGAGGAAGGUGGGGAUGACGUCAAAUCAUCAUGCCCCUUAUGAUUUGGGCUACACACGUGCUACAAUGGACAAUACAAAGGGCAGCGAAACCGCGAGGUCAAGCAAAUCCCAUAAAGUUGUUCUCAGUUCGGAUUGUAGUCUGCAACUCGACUACAUGAAGCUGGAAUCGCUAGUAAUCGUAGAUCAGCAUGCUGCGGUGAAUACGUUCCCGGGUCU
rnacentral:rRNA from 1 species